UUGUAUUUAUUAUAAAAGUUUAACUCUUGAAUUUUGAUGAAGGAAUAUUAUUAUUUAAUUCCAAAUCUACACUUUACUUUUUAUAUUUAGUUCAUGAAUAUUCAAAAGGUUCUUAGUUAAAAUUGCGUAUCUGAUUGGUCAUUGUGAUUUCGCGGUCAAUUUAUAUUUUGUAUUGACCAGGUAGAUUUGAACGGGAACUUGAAAUGACAGCCACAUGAUAUUGUGUGUCCCGAGUUAUAUUACCUGUAUAUUAUUAUUUUCAUUCAUUGUGGACACAACAUAUAUCUGAUUAAUGACUCCAUUGAUGUAGUUAUAUACAGAGUAUUACUUGUGAACUGUGCCUACUCCUUACCAGUAAAACUCACUCCACAAGUGGUAAGAGUCAAUCUAUUUUAAUUAUGUAAUGUUGUAAACAGAACGUUAUGGAUUAUUUCCCUUUAAAUAUGCGGUUUUAAGCAUCUUUAAGAUAUUGGCUUAAUUAGUCUUUAUAAAAAUAGUAUUUGCAACUUAAUGAUUGUUGUAAUGUAAUAGUAUGUAAAGAACAAAUAAUAUAUUAUGUUCCGAUUAGUUUAUUGUUAUAUGUGCAGUUUUAACUUUAGUUUUGUACCGUACACAUAGUUUACCAGUAAACAUUAUAUAGUACACUAUUUAUGAUCAAGGGUUACAUUCUUGUGUAGUAUAUCACAAUGAGAAAUAAAAGUACACGUGACAUCAAUUUACUGAAUGUAUUUAUUAUUGAAUUAGUAGUAUAGUACACAGUAAUUAAGAGCAUUGUAUUUUACUAUUACCAUAUGUGAUAAUGUGUAAUUUAAGAUACUUGUGUUUUAUAAAAUAGAACUGUUAAUUAUAAUUGUGAUAUUGUUAUUUCAGAGUUUAUUUUCUAUUACUGGUAUUAAAUCAUCCGAACCCUA